rnacentral:snRNA from 1 species
GUGCUCACUUCGGCAGCACAUACACUAAAAUUGGAAUGAUACAGAAAAGACUAGCAUGGCCCCUGCGCAAGGAUGACAUGCAAAUUCAUGAAGCGUUCCAUAUAUUU